GUUUGCGGUUACAAAC
rnacentral:sRNA from 1 species